rnacentral:misc_RNA from 1 species
UUGCGUUAGAUUCCGCUAAACGUUUCUUAUCUUCGAUGAAAAUCUUCCGAUGCGCCACGAACGUUGAAUUGUCCUUCCUUAAAUUUACGCGACGUAAUCCGUAGUAAUUACGUAGCCGGAGGAUCGAUUAUUUAUCCGAAUAUCGAAUUAAUUCCCACAGGAUUUGGCAAGUUUAACCUUAAGAUUAUGGCCGUCUGCAGUUUGAUAUUCAUGAACGUGGCCUUCAGCAUAACCAGCAUCGGAUUCGUAAUACCAUCGGCAGCGUGCGACUUUAAAAUGACCACCGUGGACAAGGGCUGCCUUAGCGCUGCCCCCAUGUUAGGUAUGCUGGCCGGCUCGUAUAUUUGGGGCUGCUACGCGGCCAUAAAAGGACGCAGAAUGUCCUUGUUGGUCGCGUUGUUUCUUCACGGAAUCUCCGAAUUGUUGGCAUCGAUCGUACCGCUUUAUUGGGUCUUUUUGUUUUUAAAAUUCCUAAGCGGCGCAGCAAUGAACGGACAAUCCGCUGUCGUUUUCCUCUAUCUGGGUGAAUUUCAGCCGACAAAGUAUCGCGACAGAAUGCUGUCGUGGAUGGAAAUGGCUUGGGUGAUGGGUAUGAUCAUCUUGGCAGGCGUCGGUUGGAUCGUGAUCCCGAUGGACGUAAACGUGGAAGGCGCCGGUUUCUUUUUACACUCGUGGAAUCUUUUCGUCUUUAUAUGCUCCCUUCCGGCGUUAUUUACCGGAACGUGGUUAUUAUUUUUCCCCGAAACGCCCAAGUACCUCGCUGAAACCGGUUACAACGUGCAAAUGCUGCAAGUUUUAAUGAGAAUGUACGCGGAGAAUACCGGACAACCCGCGAAAGAAUACAAGACGAAGCUUCGAAAUUCUGGCAACAACAAUUUGAACGAACUGGUCCACCGCAUUAUGCAGACGAACGAGAAGGAGGAAGCGACGGAGAAAUCGUUCGAUUCGAUGAUAAAAGACAUAUACGCGAAAACGGUGAUGAUACUGAAGCCACCGUAUCUCUGUAGAACCAUCGUGGUAUGUCUGAUCGCUUGUUUCGUCACGUCCGCUUAUUACACGCUAACUCUGUGGCUGCCGGAGCUGUUUCACAGAUACGCGGACUUCCAACAGGCAUAUCCUAACCGGACAGCCAGCGUUUGCACCUUAAAGAUCUCGAUAAAUCACACGGAUUCGCAAAGGAUAGACGACCCGUUCGGUUGCAACUCGAGAGUACAAACGAGCGUGUUCCUUCACACUUUCAUCUUGGGAGCAUCUUGCAUUCCAACCGGUCUGAUAAUGCCUUUUCUGGUCAAUUACAUGGGAUACAAAUUCCUCUUGGUGAUCACGGCUUUUAUACCCGGUGUCGUGGCAGCUUGUCUCUUCCUGGUGCAAACUUCCACGCAAAAUUUGAUCCUCUCUUGCGCCUACGAAUCCGUCACGUCCGUUUGCCUCAGCGUCGUCUACUGCCUUCUAGUCGAUCUUUAUCCGACGCAUUUACGAGCAAUGGCUUCCGGUUUAUCGGCGUUCAUAAGUCGAAUCGGUGCUAUAAGCGGUACCUUGAUGAUCGGUUACUUGAUCGACGAUUACUGUACAUUGGUGAUCGUCAUCGUUGCCGCUCAGCUAUUUUUGAGCGGUCUACUCGCCCUCUUUACUCCGUCUCGAAAAAAACCAAAACUGAACAUCGAGAAAUCUUAACGAACGUGGAACGAUCCUAUAAAAGGCGACGUAAUCGAAAAGGAAACGAAGAAAAAUUGUUGAAUUUUACGCGAGUGUUUGGCUCGAUCGAACUCCGACAACCCUAUAAUCUUGCCGAAUCUUCGCGCUCGAAUCGGCACCUAGCGAAGGAGGACUAGCGAAGAAGAAGAAUAAACAGAAGCGGAA